rnacentral:rRNA from 1 species
AGCAGUAGCCGCGGGAAUACGUGGGUGGCAAGCGUUGUCCGGAAUUAUUGGGCGUAAAGCGCGCGCAGGCGGAUAGGUCAGUCUGUCUUAAAAGUUCGGGGCUUAACCCCGUGAUGGGAUGGAAACUGCCAAUCUAGAGUAUCGGAGAGGAAAGUGGAAUUCCUAGUGUAGCGGUGAAAUGCGUAGAUAUUAGGAAGAACACCAGUGGCAAAGGCGACUUUCUGGACGAAAACUGACGCUGAGGCGCGAAAGCCAGGGGAGCGAACGGGAUUAGAUACCCCUGUAGUCCCUGUCUCUUAUACA